rnacentral:rRNA from 1 species
UACGGAGGGUGCGAGCGUUGUCCGGAAUUAUUGGGCGUAAAGAGCUUGUAGGCUGUUUGUCGCGUCUGCUGUGAAAUUUCGGGGCUCAACCCCGAACUUGCAGUGGGUACGGGCAGGCUAGAGUGUGGUAGGGGAGACUGGAAUUCCUGGUGUAGCGGUGAAAUGCGCAGAUAUCAGGAGGAACACCGGUGGCGAAGGCGGGUCUCUGGGCCGAUACUGACGCUGAGGAGCGAAAGCGUGGGGAGCGAACAGG